rnacentral:rRNA from 1 species
AUUGAACGCUGGCGGCAUGCCUUACACAUGCAAGUCGAACGUGAAAGCGGGGCAACCCGCAAGUAGAGUGGCGGACGGGUGAGUAAUACAUCGGAACGUGUCCAGUAAUGGGGGAUAACCUAGCGAAAGUUAGGCUAAUACCGCAUACGAUCUGCGGAUGAAAGCGGGGGAUGCGGCACUAAAGGCUUUUGGCGAAGGUGGCCAAAGGUGAGUCAAGAGCUUUUAGUGCNGCACCUCGCGUUAUUGGAGCGGCUGAUGUCUGAUUAGCUAGUUGGUGAGGUAAAGGCUUACCAAGGCGACGAUCAGUAGCUGGUCUGAGAGGACGGCCAGCCACACUGGGACUGAGACACGGCCCCAGACUCCUACGGGAGGCAGCAGUGGGGAAUUUUGGACAAUGGGGCAACCCCUGAUCCAGCCAUGCCGCGUGAGUGAAGAAGGCC